GCCGGGCACAGUGGCGUGGGGCUGUAGACCCAGCUACUUGGGAGGAUCGCUUGAUUCCAGGAGUUCUGGGCUGUAGUGUGCUAUGCUGAUCAGAUGUCCGCACUAACUUGGGCAUCAAUGUGGUGACCUCCCAGGAGUGGGGGGCCUCCAGGUUGCCUAAGGAGGGGUGAGGUCAGGCCCAGGUCAGAAACAGAGCAGGUCAAAGCGCCUGUGCUGAUCAGCAGUGGGAUCGCACCUGUGAAUAGCCACUGCACUCCAGCCUGGGCAACAUUAGUGAGACCCCUGUCU
rfam:Otolemur garnettii contig061006, whole genome shotgun sequence.